rnacentral:rRNA from 1 species
AUUGAACGCUGGCGGCAGGCCUAACACAUGCAAGUCGAACGAGUGGCGGACGGGUGAGUAAUGUCUGGGAAACUGCCCGAUGGAGGGGGAUAACUAGUGGAAACGGUAGAUAAUACCGCAUACAAUCAGAUGUGACAAGAUGGGAUUAGCUUGUGGGUGGGGUAACGGCUCACCAAGGCGACGAUCCCUAGCUGGUCUGAGAGGAUGACCAGCCACACUGGACCUUAGACACGGUCCAGACUCCUACGUGAGGCAGCAUUGGGGAAUAUUGCACAAUGGGCGCAAGCCUGAUGCAGCCAUGCCGCGUGUAUGAAGAAGGCCUUCGGGUUGUAAAGUACUUUCAGCGCGGAGGCGUUACCCGCAGAAGAAGCACCGGCUAACUCCGUGCCAGCAGCCGCGGUAAUUC